UCUCUCUCUACUCUCUACACACACACAAGUGUGUGUGUGUGUGUGUGUGUGUGAGAGAGAGAGAGAGAGAGAGAGAAAAUGUACACAUUUGCACACAUAUACAAAAUAC